CUCAGACAGAGAUGUUAGGUUCCCUGUUACAAUUUUGUUUAUUCCCUCCACUGCUGCCACUGUUGAGAAAGCCCAACAACUACCUGCAUUUGAAGUCACCAAUUAAUAUUUUUUUUCAUCUAUAUGAUAUAAUCUAUUUGGGAAGGUUGGCAGCAUUUUCAUACAUGAAAGUGGAAGUGGCAUCCCUCUUUGUCUUCAUCAAACCAAGAUACUUGUUCUUGAACUCUUCAUGGCUCAAGUCUGCAAACUCAUUCAAUCCAAGCCAGUAGUUGCUGAUCAUCUUGUUCUUCUCAUCUAUGUGUUUGAGCCAUCCAGGACUCAAAUAGAUCAAUGAGACUUUCCUGGGAUUUUAAAUCAUCCUCUGAAUAUCCCAUGAUUGAGAAGUCAGCUGGGAAAGCCAUGCAUGUUAUGAGGAACAUGGAGAGGAGGACUACUAGUAGGAAGAACUUGGUUUUGGAGGAAUCCAUGACUUGUAUCUUGAGCCACAGGAAAGAAAGUGUAGUUGAAUUUUCUUCAAAGAUCAGAAAGGAACACUGUGCUUUAACAAACAUGAACAGCUUAAAAAGUAUCUCCAGGUUGUCUGUCCGGAGAGACAGAGUGCCAGUGUAGAUACCCAUUUUAGUGCGCUGGGCUUCAUGAGAUGUAUGAAUUUGGUGGUACUUGUUUAAUUAAUGAAGCUUUAAACCUUUUAUUCUGUUCCACUAGGAAAUGGCCAAACACUAGGAACAUUAGAAGGUGUGGUAUGACAUUGUUUGAUUAAUUUUUUAAUUUUACUUGUUAU